AGAGUUUGAUCCUGGCUCAGAACGAACGCUGGCGGCGCGCCUAAUACAUGCAAGUCGAGCGAGAAGACGUAGCAAUACGUUUGUAAAGCGGCGAACGGGUGAGGAAUACAUGGGUAACCUACCCUCGAGUGGGGAAUAACUAGCCGAAAGGUUAGCUAAUACCGCAUACGACUCUCGGUCUGCGGAUCGAGAGGGAAAGCGAUACCGUGGGUAUCGCGCUCAUGGAUGGGCUCAUGUCCUAUCAGCUUGUUGGUGAGGUAACGGCUCACCAAGGCUUCGACGGGUAGCUGGUCUGAGAGGACGAUCAGCCACACUGGCACUGCGACACGGGCCAGACUCCUACGGGAGGCAGCAGUAAGGAAUAUUGCGCAAUGGGCGACAGCCUGACGCAGCGACGCCGCGUGGGGGAUGAAGGUCUUCGGAUUGUAAACCCCUUUCGGCAGGGAAGAUGGAACGGGUAACCGUUCGGACGGUACCUGCAGAAGCAGCCACGGCUAACUUCGUGCCAGCAGCCGCGGUAAUACGAAGGUGGCAAGCGUUGUUCGGAUUUACUGGGCGUACAGGGAGCGUAGGCGGUUGGGUAAGCCCUUCGUGAAAUCUCCGGGCCUAACCCGGAAAGUGCGGAGGGGACUGCUCGGCUAGAGGAUGGGAGAGGAGCGCGGAAUUCCCGGUGUAGCGGUGAAAUGCGUAGAGAUCGGGAGGAAGGCCGGUGGCGAAGGCGGCGCUCUGGAACAUAUCUGACGCUGAGGCUCGAAAGCGUGGGGAGCAAACAGGAUUAGAUACCCUGGUAGUCCACGCCUUAAACUAUGAAUACUAAGUGUCGGCGGGUUACCGCCGGUGCCGCAGCUAACGCAUUAAGUAUUCCGCCUGGGAAGUACGGCCGCAAGGUUGAAACUCAAAGGAAUUGACGGG
rnacentral:rRNA from 1 species